GCCUCUCUCAACACUGCAAACCCUGCAGCAUAGAAUGACAACGCAUAGACUGCACAGCCUUCUCACAAGGCUUCUCUGCUGAGGUGAAAUGGUUGCACAGUAAGUCCUCCUCACACUGCCUGAGAAUGUCUGCUACCUGUCUGCUGCAGCUGUACUUACAUAUAUCGCUGUAUUGACAGGAUGAUUUAUGACUGUAUAUCUGUAUUUUCCAUAUUUUGAGAUAUGGCCUGACAUUGACUCAACUGGAGCAGCUAAAUUUAGCCAGACUGGUUUUCACUUUAGGAAUUUGAGCUUAAUUUGAUAACCUAAUGGUCAUGGUGUGUAAAUAAAUCCCCCACCAUAACACUGCACUCCUGGGUGAACAUGAAUUAUAAUGGGGGGGUAUUUUUCCUCAAGGGUUAUGAUGGUUACAGCGUAGAUGCAGAAACCUUAGAAUUCAUCCACCACUUUUUGCCUGAUUUUCAUUUGAUUUAUUUUUUGAUCUUUACGAGAAAAUUUUCUUUUCCUUGCUUUCGUCUUGCAUCUUUAGGAUCCAGAUGUAAUCUGUUCCAACCCUGUUAUCUGAAGAAUGAGGAGUCACGAUUGCAAAAGGAUCUUCUAUUUUUUACACUAUGCAAACACUCCUUUGGCUCCACCCAGGUAAAUACAUAAUGAGCCACCAGUGGUUAGCAAAAUUCAUGCUCUAAAAGC